UCUACGGGUGGCAGCAGUGGGGAAUAUUGGGCAAUGGGCGCAAGCCUGACCCAGCAACGCCGCGUGAGUGAAGAAGGCUUUCGGGUUGUAAACUUCUUUUGACAGGGAAGAGUAGGAGACGGUACCUGUCGAAUAAGCCACGGCUAACUACGUGCCAGCAGCCGCGGUAAUACGUAGGAGGCAAGCGUUGUCCGGAUUUACUGGGUGUAAAGGGCGUGUAGCCGGGUUGACAAGUCAGAUGUGAAAUCCUGCGGCUUAACCGCAGAACUGCAUUUGAAACUGUUGCUCUUGAGUACUGGAGAGGCCGACGGAAUUCCUGGUGUAGCGGUGAAAUGCGUAGAGAUUAGGAGGAACACCAGUGGCGAAGGCGGCCUGCUGGACUGCAACUGACGCUGAGGCCCGAAAGCGUGGGGAGCAAACAGGAUUAGAGACCCGUGUAGUC
rnacentral:rRNA from 1 species